AGGGAGGGGGGGGGGAGAGCCGGGGGGGUCGCCGCGCGGCCGGGCGGGGACGGAGGGGGAUAACGGGGGGCACAAGGGGGGUGCCCCCUCCCCGCGGGGCUCCGCGGGCGGCCGUUGGGGCGGCGGUUGGGACGGUUGGGACGGUUGGAGGGGGUGACGUCAUCCCUGUGCUGGGGGAGGGCGGGGCGGCAGCCCCCUCCCUCAGCGCCCCCCCCCUCACUCCUCCCCGCCUCCCUCCUCCUCCUCCUCCUCCUCCUCCUCCUGCAGCCCCGGGGCUCCCCCCAAAUCCCCGUGUCCCCCCCCCACAAAUCCCCGUGUCCUCCCCCCUGGACCCGGGGAGGGGGUCUCCUGUCACGGGGAGGGGGUGUCCCGCCGCCAUGUCGCGCCUGAGGGGCUGUGAGGGGCAUCCCGCAGCCCGUCCCAAUGCAGCCACGUUAAAAAGAAUCCACGAUAAAAAAAGAAAUCGGUGAAAUGCUCGCCCCGCUGCCCUGUGGCAGCCGCCCGCGAGUCCUGGCCUCCCCUCCCAGCGAAGGAGAGGGACGAGCGGCACAUCAAGGAGGUCGGAGCGCAGGAGAACCUGCCCUUACACGCCGAUUCCAGCUCAGGAGAUCACGCACCUCGCUGCUCAGUAGGGAUCCGGUUAAGAGGCAGUUUCACCACAAUAAACCGUGAUCUUUCAUUCUCCAGAACAUGACCUACAAGGCUAAGUGGCUGAAGGACUGCCCGCUCUACGGGUAGCAGACCCGGCUGUGACAGCUUUGCACAGAAAGCUUUCAUAAGGGGAUUGCGACUAGCGACAGCAGCAACAGUUCAACAGACUGUCAUCAAGUAGCGGGCAGGAUUCCCCUAGAAAAGUGCUUUGGUUCCUGGCAGAGCACCGUAGGAACCGUACUUCAGGGCUUGCAUGCUGCUCUCGGUCCUGUUAGGAGUCACGGGAUGGACAAGCCUGCCCACCUGGCUGAGUGGCUGCUUUUUUGGGGCACACUGAACAUCAGCGUGUUCCAAGGGGAGUUUUCCUCAAGCGUCCUGCGUUGCAGGGAUACACUGUGUCUGUUGGCUUUGCUUGAAUUGGAUGAAAAUUAAAUGAUACCCAAAUCAAAAGUCAUUUUCACUUCUGCUAAGUGAAAACCCUGCCUUUCGGUCUGUCUUCCUGAGAUGCCGAUUGUACAAAUUAAAAUGCAGAGUUACGGGGAAAUUUGUGACUAUAAGGAAAAUAUCUUGACCAUAGGAAAUAUCUGUGACUGUAAGAUCCAGGCACCUGUUCCUUGCAGGAGGGAUGUUGGCUUGUGUCUGUCAGAGCCAGCAUCUUUCUGCAAUCAAGCACGUGAAAACUCUUGUCCUCUUGUUAAUUCUCAUACCUACAAAGGAACACAUUGCACACUCUGUUUGCUGAUCCUUUACACAUGUCUUGGGGGGCAGUUCCUCAAGAAGCUGCUUCUUUACUUGGAUGUGUUUGGAGCUUCUCACAAGAUAGACAGUACUCUGAAGUUUGUUAGCUUCACCUCGGCUUGUCAUCAGCGCUAGUCAAGUGCAAGCAUUAAUCAAAUUAAAGGUUUACUACAGCCGGGCAUAAGGGCAAGCUCCUAAUUACAAGGCUGGAAAACAAGAAUGACCGGGAGUCGUUUAAACUUGAAAUGUAAUUCUAGGGCAAACUUAACAGGUUUUUCCUUAGCUAUUACCUCUCACCUUGAGUUUUUAGGAUACGUCUCAUCCAUAAAAAAAACAGCAGUGUAAUUUGUAUGGGCACUGUGUGGCUUGGCUCCUUCCCUUCCAGCACGAAGGAAGUGCCUCAGGUGUGGCAGGCUGGGGUUUUGCUGGAAGCACUGAGUGCUCCCUCCUGACCCUGCUUUCUGUUGUGCCUUCUGAGCAAGCUGCCCUAGUACACGUUGACCAGCUCCUCUUCCCCGGCAGCAAUUCACGAAGCAGUUUACAAAGCAUUUACUGGCUUUCCUACAUUUACUGUUUAACAGCAUUACAAACUGCUGAGCUCUCUAGCCGAUCCCUCAGAUUGUCCUACGUACGUAGCU